AUGAAUGAUGUGAUUGUUGCUGGACUAACAGUCAACCACUCUGUAUCACUGUGGUGGACGUUUGGUGGAGGAACCAGACUGGAUGUUAACUUGGGUCGAGUCCCCCCCACCCUGACGGUGCUGGCCACCUCCAGUGAGGAGGAGCUGCAGCAGGGGAAGGCUACGGUCAUGUGUCUGGCCAACAAGGGCUACCCCUCAGGCUGGAGUCUGUCCUGGAAGGUGGAUGGAAGCAGCAGCAUCAGAGGGGAGGAGAGCAGGAGCCCCGGGGUGCUGCAGAAUGAUGGCCACUACAGCUGGAGCAGCACCCUGAGGCUCCCUGCAGAGCAGUGGGAGAAGGUGGGCUCUGUGACCUGUGAGGCCACCCAGGGCUCCCAGACUCCAGUCUCAGAGACACUGAGGAGAGACCAGUGUUCCCAGUCCUGACCUGACCCACUGGGCCUCUGAUCCUGGUUUACUCUGUACUCUGUGUUUCUCUGUCUCAUUAUUCAGCUCCACUGUUGCUGAUAUUGUUCAUGCUUUAAGACAAUAAAAGUUUCUUUUUCAAAUCAA